GUCUUAUUUUUCCCUUUUGUGAUCUAUCAUCCAAGUAUUCAACCAUAGCUUACAUUAUUUGGGAAUCUUACCUGAAAAUGAAUUUAUUUGCAUACUAGAAGACACAUGUUUAUUACAAUCAUAUGCUAAAGGUUGGAGGAUUAUUUCCAAGUAGCUAUAGUUUAUGUCUUUUUUCUUCCCUCAAUUUCUUCAACCUUGCAAAGGUUUUCGCUAGGGAUGGGGUGUCGUUUUCGACUACUUGUGAAAAUCUUCUCCCUGGACCUUGGAUAAUUGAUGACCUUGAUACUUUAAAAUUAAAAUGGAGCAACAACUCCGGGAAGAAGGUUAUCAUAUUUGUUGAUAACUAUGGUGGAGAUAUUAUUUUGGGUAUUUUGGCGGUCUGAAAAUUGGAAUCUCAUUGCCAUAACAAAGUUAUUUGAUAAAAUCCUUAUAGCACUCAGCUUCACAAAAACUAUUAUUCUCAUUUCAAACUAAAUACUAGGAUCUGAUUGUUUAGCCGAUGCCUUGCAAUCAGUUGAUUUUGAUGUUUUCUCACGAACCAGUGGCAACUUUGCCACAGUAUCCUGUAACUAUGCACCCUUAAAUGAAAAUUUGUAAAAUGAUAGGAGUAGAGCAAACUAAAAUUGGUAAUACAUUCUUUCUUUCCACCAAUAAAUUUUUGUAUCA